CUUUGGACCACCUGGAGGAGUGGGUCGAAUCACCUAGGUCGGGAACUGCUGGCAAACGCUGUACAAGACACAUUUUACAGUACAGAGCCUUUGCAUUAUUGGAGAGUGAAGAUUCUACACGAGAAUAACACCGAAACCAGCCUGGCCCGGGCGUUCUUGCAUGAGCUGCUGCAUUGCCGAGUUAGCCGAAACUUCCAGAAGCAAAUCGAUUACAUGAGCCGUCAAGAUUUCUACAUGAGAUGGAACACUUUCUUCUCGCGGAGGUGCAGACCGAUGAGGCUUUGCGGCAAGAGGAAGUUUGUCAAUCACAUGUGUCGUCGUGCACACAUUCAUAUAGUUAAGGUUCUACGCUUAUCACUGAAAUGGGCGUGGUCUAUACUCCAGGACAACGGACUCGACCUCAAGAUCAUUUAUGUGGCUCGAGAUCCCCGGGCGGUUCUGGUGUGAGUAGCUCCUGUGUCCUCUGGUUGG